UACAGAGGGUGCGAGCGUUGUCCGGAAUCACUGGGCGUAAAGGGCGCGUAGGUGGUGGCUUAAGCGUGCGGUGAAAGCUCGGGGCUCAACCCCGAGUCGGCCGUGCGAACUGGGCUCACUGGAGCAUAGUAGAGGCAGGUGGAAUUCCGGGUGUAGCGGUGGAAUGCGUAGAGAUCCGGAAGAACACCGGUGGCGAAGGCGGGUCUCUGGGCCGAUACUGACGCUGAGGAGCGAAAGCGUGGGGAGCGAACAGG
rnacentral:rRNA from 1 species